GACCUAGUAUGGUGUAGUGGUUUGAACACUGGACUACAACUGGAGACCAGGGUUCAAUUCCCUGCUCUGUCA